CCAAUUCAUUCAACAACCAAAUAAACAAAAAUUCCAAACAACAUCACAAAACUGACCCGACUGUCCCAUCGUUCUUCUUCUCCACGCAAGAAACAACGAAUAAAUCACGCUGCAAACCCAGAAAAUCAGCAGCAAAUCGCGACCUCUAGCCACACUUCUAGCUGUGUCGUCCUCUCCUUUUUCCUUAUCCUUCCGUACCAGGAGUCAUUGGAGAAUCCAAGUGUCUCAAUCUCCUAUUUUGUCCGCUCUUUCUCUAAGAUCGGACGACCAUCCUUUCCAAGCUGUUGAGAGUUGGUACAAUUCUUGGCUGGCAAACUUAUCUCCUAAGAGGAGGGUGAUUUUCGAAUUUCAAAUCCAACGGUUUCCUCCCAAAUCACUCAAGCUCCCCCUAUAAAUGGCCCCAUCUCCUCCAUGUUUUAAGAUGAUGUCUUAGAGUGGAGAGGGAGUAAGUAUUAGGGGGAACUUUGGAAGUUUCAGAUUAUUGAAUCUUCUCGUCUCAUCGGAGCUUCGCCGGAGUUUCAUUUGAAUCUAACUUGUGGUGGUAGAUGCUUCAUUGUUAAGCUUUUUGUCCUAGUCUCGCUGCUCCAAAAGAGACUACUUAUCAAGACAAAACUACUCAGACUGAGAACAAAAAUGAAGAUACAAUCGAAGAGCUACUCAAAGUCAUUACUACACUUUGUAUCAUAGUGGACGAUGAGAUACAAAAGCUAAAGACUAAUGAAGAUAACCUGAAGUCUAAAGCUAAUAUAAGUCAACAACAUGACUAUAAAAAUGCGGAGCUACGUCGAUCGGAAGAUGAUAAAAUUUCAGAGAUGAAAGGAGACGAUGGGAAACUCCCUAAAACCCAUAACGUUUGUUUAAAUACAGCUGCAGGUACAAGCAGGAAUGUUAGUGAGAAAUCACGAAAUACAAACUUACACCAGUUAUUUAUAAAACCAUUUACCCAAAACACACAAAAACAUAUAUCCACAGAACCGCAAACUUCUACAUACGCAGUUAGUAUACAGAGUGAUAAAAAAAGAUACAACUAUAUCCAAACCUAUUUAAAUCUCAACCCCAGAUCUAACCAAACCGAAGAUCCAAACCGAGACUAUAUAACCCAAAAAUUACAAGGAUAUAAUAGACUUACAGCACAACAAAAAAUUAGUGCUAAUCUAGUCAAGACAUGUUAUAGUUAUCGAUUACUAAGUACAGUAUAUACAUACGACGAAGAAGAAAUUAGUGGAAUACCAGAGUUAUAUAAAACAUUUAUUACAUAUAAAAGAGUUACAAAAGGAAACUUGUUUUAUAUUAUGUUUUAUACAGCACUAGCAGAGAUAUUGUAUGAAGAAAUUAAGUCACCGAUUCAAGUUAUAAAGAUAGGAUUAAUAAAAGAUAUACCAUACCAGAAGAUAUUGGACAUCAGAACGAAAUAACAAAGAUAGAAAUACCAAGUUUUUAUGCCAAUAAAAGAAUAAUUGGUAUAUCAACUAUCAUACAGGAAUUAGCAAACAACUAUUUAAAUGGAAACGCUACAUGAAAUUAUUACGCUAGAGAUGUUAUGAUAUAUUCGUAUUCGAGGGAGUUAAGAAGAGCAGAUAUGGAUGAAGUCCAGCGAUUGAUUUUGUCACUAUUAAAACUAGAAGAACAAUCUACGACAAGAGCAUUGAAAAAGGAUUUAUUGUGGAAGAAUUAUUAAUCAGAUAUUGCAAACUUAUUGGACACAAAUAUCCAGAUCACAGAAACUCCAAAUGCAAUGGAGAGGAAGAUAACAUUAUACCAUAUGUUGAUUUGGAAUAAGGAUAAGGAGAUAAAGAUGCAAGAUAAGAUAAGGAUGAAGAAAAGAAAAAGAAUUAUAGCAGACAAAAAGAUAGAAAUCUUUGAAAAACUGUAAACAUAAAGAGAUAAGAUUCCUUUGUACAGUUAAUAACUUUUGCUUUUUUGAAAGGCCAAUGUGUAUAGCCGGCCAUUUGUAAAGUUUUAUUUAAAAAGUCGUAAAGUAUAUAGUAGACGCACUUAUGUGCAGACUUAGGAUUUAGUAUAUAUAGAUUGCGAAAUUGUAAAUGAAAGGCAGACAAUGCCAAACUAAAGUUCAAGUUAAUAAACUCUCUCUCAAAAUA